rnacentral:rRNA from 1 species
CAGCCGCCGCGGGAAUACGAAGGGUGCAAGCGUUGCUCGGAAUUACUGGGCGUAAAGGGAGCGUAGGCGGACAUUUAAGUCAGGGGUGAAAUCCCGGGGCUCAACCUCGGAAUUGCCUUUGAUACUGGGUGUCUUGAGUAUGAGAGAGGUAUGUGGAACUCCGAGUGUAGAGGUGAAAUUCGUAGAUAUUCGGAGGAACACCAGUGGCGAAGGCGACAUACUGGCUCAUUACUGACGCUGAGGCUCGAAAGCGUGGGGAGCAAACAGGAUUAGAUACCCCAGUAGUCCCUGUCUCUUAUAC